rnacentral:rRNA from 1 species
GAUGAACGCUAGCGGGAGGCCUAACACAUGCAAGCCGAGCGGUAUUGUUUCUUCGGAAAUGAGAGAGCGGCGUACGGGUGCGUAACACGUGUGCAACCUGCCUUUAUCUGGGGGAUAGCCUUUCGAAAGGAAGAUUAAUACUCAAUAAUAUAUUUAACGGCAUCGUUUAAUAUUGAAAGCUCCGGCGGAUAGUGAUGGGCACGCGCAAGAUUAGCUAGUUGGUGAGGUAACGGCUCACCAAGGCGAUGAUCUUUAGGGGGCCUGAGAGGGUGAUCCCCCACACUGGUACUGAGACACGGACCAGACUCCUACGGGAGGCAGCAGUGAGGAAUAUUAGUCAAUGGGGGCAAGCCUGAACCAGCCAUCCCGCGUGAAGGACGACUGCCCUAGGGGUUGUAAACUUCUUUUGUAUAGGGAUAAACCUACCCUCGAGAGGGUAGCUGAAGGUACUAUACGAAUAAGCAACGGCUAACUCCGUG